CCUAGCCUUCAACACAGAACCAUUCUGCCUAGUUUUUUUUCUUGUUCACACCUUGGCUUACCUUUAGCCAAAGCUUGAUCUUUCAAGCAUUUUAAGGUAACAUACUUUGGCAAAAAGAGAGGCAUAACCAUGGGCGACAGAAAAGGAAGCACUUCAAACCAUGGCUUGAAUUUGAACAUACCCCCACCAAGGGUUGUUAAUCAGAUACCUGAGUCCCCAACUCGAUUAGCAACAAUUUCACCAACAUCACCACCAAGCUCGUGUGUGUCUAGUGAACUAAGCCAAGAUGACAACAACAACAACAACGACAUCAACAUCAGGUUCUCUAAUAGCCCUGAAGCCAUUUCCCUGGUGCUAGUAGGGUGUUCUCAGUGCCUUAUGUAUGUGAUGGUCAGUGAGGGAAACCUUAAGUGCCCCAAAUGCAAAAGCACCAAUCUGACUCAUUUUCUCGAUGACAACAACAACCCAUAAUGAGGGGAUAAAGUGAUAUGCUACCUUGUUGUGAUUUCUGCAUUUUGUGUUGCAAGUAGGAUAUGUUAGGAUUUAAAUUAGAAAACUCUUUUUUAGGAUAUUUCUUUUAUGUUAUCUUUUUUUACCUUUUUUUCUAAACCCUUUCCAUUAGCAGUGCUGCUUGUGCUCCACCUUUUACCUUUAUCUCCUCUACUUAGUAAGGGAAUCACAAAAGAAGAGUGUAAAUAGCACUGCAUGCAAGAGAUUAUGCUUGAUAAAUGGUUACUUCACCAGGUUAAUCAUCUUAAAUAUUAGGGAAGGAAGUUUCCUUCAUUAGUAUGGAUAAUUAAUAUAUAAUGUAAACUUGAUUAUAUAAAAUAAGAUAAUGAAUCACAACA